rnacentral:rRNA from 1 species
AUUGAACGCUGGCGGCAUGCUUUACACAUGCAAGUCGAACGGUAACAGGCCUUCGGGUGCUGACGAGUGGCGAACGGGUGAGUAAUGCAUCGGAACGUGCCCAGAGGUGGGGGAUAACGCAGCGAAAGCUGUGCUAAUACCGCAUGUGAUCUGAGGAUGAAAGCGGGGGACCAGGCAGCAAUGUUUGGCCUCGCGCCUUUGGAGCGGCCGAUGUCAGAUUAGGUAGUUGGUGGGGUAAAGGCCUACCAAGCCGACGAUCUGUAGCUGGUCUGAGAGGACGACCAGCCACACUGGGACUGAGACACGGCCCAGACUCCUACGGGAGGCAGCAGUGGGGAAUUUUGGACAAUGGGCGCAAGCCUGAUCCAGCAAUGCCGCGUGCGGGAAGAAGGCCUUCGGGUUGUAAACCGCUUUUGUACGGAACGAAAAUGCUCUGGCUAAUACCUGGGGCUGAUGACGGUACCGUAAGAAUAAGCACCGGCUAACUACGUG